CGUCAGCAGGCCUGAGAGAGGGCACAAACUCCUGCCCCAACUACUGCAUCAGCCCGUCUCUGUAGAAUGGAAGUGUGCUGAACUAAUACGUACCUUGUUAAGCCUGGAGCAGAGCCCGAGCUGGCUGCUGCUGGAAGAGCAGGUCAGAGAGGAGUGCUGGCAGAAGUGGAGCGUGCCAGCAGCCAAGCAACCUGACCUGCUGGCAGCAAGAUGGAGGAGCUGCACACAGGAAGAUAAGGGAGGGAGCAAUGAUCUCUUUGGGGAAGUGGGAUUUCAGCGUGGCUCCAAGCACAGAUGCACUGGCAGCUUGCAGCCAACAUGGGACAGCCUCAGAUGUUUGCCACAGUGAGGCCAGUUGGCUCUGGAAGUGGAUCCUUCUGACAACCACACACUUUUCCUAUUUCCACCCCACUUAGGUGGCUCACAAAUGGAUCAGACAUGUCCUGGUGCUUGUGUAAGGAAGGAACACAUUUAUAAGGGAAAAGGAAGAGUGUAACUGCACCAAUCAUGACUGACAUCAACUUAAGAGACAUGUACCUGGCUGCAUUCGUGAGCAUCACCUGGAGUUCAUCAGCAGAAGGUCACCUGGGCUUUUGCAGGGCUGCCUGUGCAUCACUUUGCUCCUCUGUGAAAUGGCAACAUUCAUAUGGAGAACAAAAGUAAUGUUGCUGUUCAGGGAAGAAACAUUUUAGACAUACCUCAGGAAUAUUAAAUGCAGGGGUAUUAUUUCACAAAAUUCUUUGCACAAAUGUUGUUUUAAGCUAUCAGCACCUAGUCAAUAAAUGAGGUUAUGUGAAGGUCCUAUUGAAAUGUAAGUUUGUGUGUGUAUGGUUAUGGAAGAAAUCCUGAAGGCAGGUUGACUCCAGAAAUAUAAAGUGCAGAAAUAAAUUUUAAAACUCUCU